UCCGUACUAAAAUGCGAAAUCGGUGGGUGCGAAACGUCAACAGAACGUCAACAGACGACGCCAUUAACAUACUUGCGUCACAAAAAUCUACUCGUCAAGAUAAAAACACCUUGCCUUCGAGUUAGUUUAUCCUAGUUUCUGUUUUGUAUAUAAUUCGUUAAAUUAAAAGGAUAUUACAGUUUUGUGUAUUUACCUAUUGUAUUCAUGAUUUUGAUUUGUGAUUCACGUUAUUUGCCAUUCAAUCACCGCAAUACUUCUUAAACUUGAUAAUUAAAGUCAUGGGAGAUGUCCACUUCAUGAAACUUGCUUUGUCGUUUUGCUGAAGUAAGCUGUCUUUCUGCAAAGAAAUAAAUGAGAGUAAAGAAAAAACUUCCCAAUGUGAGGUGACAUGAUGUUUCACCUGAUACAUUGUAACCUACAUUCUCUGAGGUAAUACAUCUACUGUUUCUGAGGUGACGGAAAAAUUAUGCAAGUGUUUUCUUUUCUAAUCGCUUUUCUUGUUCAAAGCAAUAAUUUGUUAUCCCUGUCAUAGAAAACCUUGGUGGAAUUCUGAGAGUGGUAAUAGUUUCAUAGCUCAUGCUGCCCAAGUAAUAGUGUGGAGCAGGCGUAUCUGUGCUUUACUUUUGCUACAAGCGCUAGAAGAUUGGCAUCACAAAUCAAAUCUUUGUAUUUUCAAUCUACAAUUCAGGUGGAUACAAUAUGUGUGCAUGUGCGCAUGGAAAGAACGCUCGUGUCGAUGACUUUGUCAACGGGGGAAAAAUGUUAAGCUUAAUUUGCUCGAUAAUAGAAUUUGUUUUAAUCUUUUCUUCUUUUAUUAUCAUUAGGUGGUGUAGGCUGAUUUAUUUCAUACCUCGGUUGAAUCACUCAUCAGCCCGUCCCAAGACGCAUAGCUGACUUUUGACUUCAAUUUUUCAUAAUUUAAACCGAAAUAAAGUAGCGGCUGAAGAAAUGAAAUUUAAUUGCUCCCCCCUUUCAAUGUCUUAAAUAAAAUAAUCCCACAGCGCCCAGCGGGGUACAUUAACACAUUGUUACGUCGUCGACGUUCUCUAUGUCAUUCGAUCAAUCUGUUUCUCUUAGCCGGAAUUUCUCUCAACAGUUGUUCGCCGAGGAAAAUCGGCUGACCAAGUCAAAUGGAAAAAACUAUCAGCCGAUAGCAGCCCGGCGUCUAAAUAUAUAUAGCUAUUCGAUUGAAAUUUAUUGAAAAUGCCACCCAGCUAAAACGUGCUGAAAGCUUCUUCCGCCUCUAUUCCACAAAGACUUAAUUGGAGAUUUCUCAUUCAAGAGCUCAUCCGAGGGACCCCCGUGCUCUUGAAGAAACAAGAGUAAUCGAGUCGACUAAAUAAAUUUAAUUUGAUAAGACUGUUUUCCCAUGAAAUACAAACAUUUUAUUUUCAAAA